rnacentral:lncRNA from 1 species
CUGUCCCCUACGGCUCCCUGUGUCCCCUGCGGCUCCCGAUGUCCCCAACAGCUCCUGGUGGCCCUGACAAGCUCCUCGCGUCCCCAACGGCUCCACCAGUUCUCCGCAAGCUGCUGGUGUCCCCAGUAGCUCCCAAUGUCACCACCCCUAGAUCCAGGGAUGUCCCCGGAGCUCUCAGUGUCCCCAACAGUCCCCGGUGUCUGUAACAGCUUCCGGCAUCCUCUCCCAAAACCAAGGGAUGUCCCCGGAGCUCUAACGGUCCCCAAGUGCUCCUGGUGUCCCCACUAGCUCCAGGGAUGUCCCCGGAGCUCCAACUGUCCCCAAAAGCUGCCGGUGUCACCACCGGGUCCAGAAAAGUCCCGGGGGCUCCACAGGUCCCUGGGCUCUUUGCUUCUCCACUAGAUCCAGGGAUGUUCUCGGCCCUGGAUGUCCCCAAAAGUUCUAAGUGUCACCUCUAGAUCUAGAAAUGACUUUAGAUGUCUUUCCUAGGUUUUGAGAUGUUCUCCUAACUUUAGAUGUUCCCAACAGCUCUUGGUUUGUCCCUCGAGCCCAGAACAUCUCUUAAUGGUAAGAAUUGUCCCCAUUGCAGCUUUGGGAACGUCCCUGGAUUCAGGGGGGUCUUUCCCAGGCUCCGGGGGUGUCCCCAACAGCUCUGGAUAUCACCCCCAGUUCCGGGUGUCCCCAACGGCUCCGGGUCUGUCCCUGGGCUCAGGGCGUCCCCAAUGGCUCUGGGUCUGUCCCCUGGCUCCGGGAACGUCCCCGGGCUCAGGGUGUCCCCAACAGCUCUGGGUCUGUCCCCUGGCUCCGGGGACGUCCCCGGGCUCCGGGUGUCCAUGUCCUGCUCUGGGAACGUCCCCACCAGCUCCGAAAACGGUCCUUCGCCGGGGGUGUCCCCAAUAGAUCCGAAGAUGUUCCCUAUCUCCGGGUGUCCUCUACGGCUCCGGGUGUCCCCACCAGCUCCGGGGACAUCCCUGGGCUUCCCCCCCCCCCCGGCGUCCCCCGCGGCGGCCGUCCCCGCGCCGUCCCCUCACCACAUCGCGCUCCGGCGAGCCGGGCCGGGAGCCGGGCAGCCCGUUCUUGGUGGGCGUCUUGGCCUCUUUCUUGGGGAACUGGAUCUUCUUGAGGUCCAGGCGGUCGUGGGUGACCCAUUCGUCCAGGCGCUUGUUAACUGUCGAUGUAGUGGACGUAGAAGAGCUUGCGCCCGCUGAUGUCCUUCACGCUCAGGAUCUCGGCCAGCGCUGGGGGGGGGCACCGAGACGUCAGGGAGGCGCCUGUCCCCCGCCGGGGUCCCCGCCGGGGGUGGCCCCCCCCCCCAAAACGGGGCUGUCACCUCCCGGGGACCCUCAGCGAGGGGCGUUUUCGCCCCCCAAAACGGGGUUGUCACCUCCUGGAGAUCUUCGACGGGGGCGUUGGCUCCCCAAAACGGGGUUGUCGCCUCCUGGGGACCCCCCCCAAUGGGGGACCCCCAAAUCGUCUCACCCCAAAAUGCCCCCCCCGGGGACCCCUAAACAU